rnacentral:rRNA from 1 species
AGAGUUUGAUCCUGGCUCAGGAUGAACGCUGGCGGCGUGCCUAAUACAUGCAAGUCGAGCGAACGGACGAGAAGCUUGCUUCUCUGAUGUUAGCGGCGGACGGGUGAGUAACACGUGGAUAACCUACCUAUAAGACUGGGAUAACUUCGGGAAACCGGAGCUAAUACCGGAUAAUAUUUUGAACUGCAUGGUUCAAAAGUGAAAGACGGUCUUGCUGUCACUUAUAGAUGGAUCCGCGCUGCAUUAGCUAGUUGGUAAGGUAACGGCUUACCAAGGCAACGAUGCAUAGCCGACCUGAGAGGGUGAUCGGCCACACUGGAACUGAGACACGGUCCAGACUCCUACGGGAGGCAGCAGUAGGGAAUCUUCCGCAAUGGGCGAAAGCCUGACGGAGCAACGCCGCGUGAGUGAUGAAGGUCUUCGGAUCGUAAAACUCUGUUAUUAGGGAAGAACAUAUGUGUAAGUAACUGUGCACAUCUUGACGGUACCUAAUCAGAAAGCCACGGCUAACUACGUGCCAGCAGCCGCGGUAAUACGUAGGUGGCAAGCGUUAUCCGGAAUUAUUGGGCGUAAAGCGCGCGUAGGCGGUUUUUUAAGUCUGAUGUGAAAGCCCACGGCUCAACCGUGGAGGGUCAUUGGAAACUGGAAAACUUGAGUGCAGAAGAGGAAAGUGGAAUUCCAUGUGUAGCGGUGAAAUGCGCAGAGAUAUGGAGGAACACCAGUGGCGAAGGCGACUUUCUGGUCUGUAACUGACGCUGAUGUGCGAAAGCGUGGGGAUCAAACAGGAUUAGAUACCCUGGUAGUCCACGCCGUAAACGAUGAGUGCUAAGUGUUAGGGGGUUUCCGCCCCUUAGUGCUGCAGCUAACGCAUUAAGCACUCCGCCUGGGGAGUACGACCGCAAGGUUGAAACUCAAAGGAAUUGACGGGGACCCGCACAAGCGGUGGAGCAUGUGGUUUAAUUCGAAGCAACGCGAAGAACCUUACCAAAUCUU